rnacentral:rRNA from 1 species
AACAAUACAGGACUUUUUUGGUUUUGUAAUUGGAAUGAGUUAAGUAUAAACCCCUUUACAAGUAUCAAUUGGAGAGCAAGUCUGGUGCCAGCAGCCGCGGUAAUUCCAGCUCCAAUAGCGUAUAUUAAAGUUGCUGCAGUUAAAAAGCUCGUAGUUGGAUUUCUGUUAAAUUGUUUAUAUACAAUAUUUUAAAAAUAUUUAUAUAACGUUAACAUAAUUCACAUUACUUCUUUUUUUUUUUUUAAAUAAAAGAAAAAAGUAUGUGAAAUUUUACUUUGAGAAAAUUAGAGUGCUUAAAGCAGGCAAAUUAGCCUUGAAUACUCCAGCAUGGAAUAAUAUAAAAGAUUUUUAUCUUUUUUUAUUGGUUCUAAGAUGAAAAUAAUGAUUAAUAGGGACAGUUGGGGGCAUUUGUAUUUAACAGUCAGAGGUGAAAUUCUUAGAUUUGUUAAAGACAAACUAGUGCGAAAGCAUUUGCCAAGGAUGUUUUCAUUAAUCAAGAACGAAAGUUAGGGGAUCGAAGACGAUCAGAUACCGUCGUAGUCUUAACCAUAAACUAUGCCAACUAGAGAU